rnacentral:lncRNA from 1 species
GCCUGCUCUCCUGACGUGUUGAGAUCCUGAAGCGAGUGCUCAGAGCAGCCAGACGUGCGCCCUGGUGGCUUGGCAAUGUCUGCUGUGGGUGUGGGUGGGGAGGCAGUGGCCUGCACCCUCCAGACACCACCUGAAGGCGGAGUCCUGGGGGCAAGGCUGGGAGUGGUUCUCAUGUCUGUAAGUCUGGCAUGGGGCCUGCAGCCAGGAGCUCGCCUAGUGGCUGAUGGAGGCUGGAGGGGCGGGCUGGGCAGGGCAGAGGGAGGAGGGAGCAGACCAAGGAGGGCCGCAGGGACCGGCCCCAAGGGUGAGAGGGCGGGCAGCCGGCCCCACUCCUGGCUGGGCUGGUUUCGCCUGGCUCUCUGCUCCUCCGCCAACUGGCUUGCUAUGACGUGGGCAUCCCCGAGCGGGCCCUGCAACGCUCGGCUCUCCUGGCAAUGGUGCCCCGGCCCCAGGCAUUCUGGAGCCAGAGAGCCAGCAGGAGGCUUGCGGUUGGACGGGGAGCUCAGAGAGGACCACCCGAACUGCUGUCCUUCCCCAGAAACCACUGCCCCCACCGGGAGAGAUGGGCCGUCCCCAUCUGUGGGUGGCAGCUCAGGCCUGGACCCGGAGACCCGUCUGCUGGAGGCGGGGAGGCUGGGGUGCCGACCCCCGAAGGAGCCAGCCCCACGCAGGAUGCUUCUCAGGCUUUGAUCAGCCAACUCCAUGCUGGCUGGGGAACUGAAGUGGAGCCCCCUUGAAAGGCGGAUGGGCCCCUUGCCCUUUCGGAAGCCAACACGUUUGAAGGGACCUGGAAUCUGAUUGUUCGCCGAUGGAGGCCAAGCUGCCGCACAUGUAAAUUUCCAAUUAAAACAGAAAUUAAUCCUCUCCCCCAACUACCUGCUAUCUCCAGCCGGAUGAGCAAAAGUUUUAUUCUGCUAAUUAAUGUUAUCACCCGUUAGCUUUAUUUACAUAAGCAGAUAUAAUUCACAUGGCUUUGCAGAAGCUGAUGGGGAAACUUAAAAAAAUUUUUUUUUAAGUUAAAAAAAUUAAUUACCUUGAUCCUCCCUCUUGUAUUCUAAUCACAGACUUGCAGCGUUCCUCUUUGGUGCUCCCCGAAACCCCUGGGUUGGCUCCUUCUUUGAUGAGUGGGAGCUUGUUCCAAAUGGAGAGAGAAGAAGUUGAAAAUUGAGCAGCUUGGAGGGGAAGCCAGUACCAGUCUUCAUAUGAAAGGCCCGAUGGAUGUGAUAAUUAUUUACGGUUUCUGGCUUUGGGUGUUUUUGUUACCCAGUUAAAUAGACUCCAAAUACCACAUUAAAAUCUUGCAAAGAUCCUGGCAGAUUAAUAAAUCACAGCAACUGCUCUGGCA